GAAAAUUAAAAAUCCAAAGAUAGUGGUGUACUCCAUGUAGGGAUUGCAUUGUCACUCUGCUUCCAUUGGCUCAAUCACCACCACUUUUGCAUCUGUGACCACCAAUUUAAACAAUGAUUGGAUCUCAUGCUUUCUAAAUGUGCCUUUUAUUAUUACUUGUGAAUUACAGCAAACUCUCUCUUGAAAAGCAAUUUUUAAGAAACUAAAAGUUGAACCAAAUGGUACCUAAAGAAAUCAUGUGAUUCAAUUUUAUAAAAUCAUUGUUGAUUAAUAAACCCAAUUAAAUCCUGAAAUUAAAGGACACUUAAUGCAAAUAGUCAAAUUCAUCUUAUUUUAUGGAAUUAAUAAUUAACCAAUGCUUAAGCCAAAAGAGAGGAAAGAAUAAGUAUUAAAAAUGCUGAUAGUGUGCUUAUGGAAAAUUCUACCAUGAGCUAGUUGUGAAGGGCAUUUGAUUUAAAAUUGAUUGAAAUUCAUUUCCAGCUUUAAAAGAAUCACUUUGCUUUCUUGGACACGUUCUGGUAUGUAAUAGGUGUUGGAAGCAUGUAAAAAAUAGGUUGUCUGAAAUGAAGUUGGACACUGCAUAGGCUCUUGAAACCAGUUUUUUUUGCUUCAUAGGAAUCUAAUAAAAUAUGUUUUCAAGUUUGUAAUGGUCAUGUUAUUUUCCUAAAACAUGAAUGUAGGAGAAAUGAG
rnacentral:misc_RNA from 1 species